rnacentral:rRNA from 1 species
UACGUAGGGGGCAAGCGUUGUCCGGAUUUAUUGGGCGUAAAGAGCUCGUAGGCGGUUUGGUAAGUCUGGUGUGAAAUCUCGGGGCUUAACUCCGAAACUGCAUUCGAUACUGCCGUGCUUGAGGACUGGAGAGGAGACUGGAAUUUACGGUGUAGCGGUGAAAUGCGUAGAUAUCGUAAGGAAGACCAGUGGCGAAGGCGGGUCUCUGGACAGUUCCUGACGCUGAGGCACGAAGGCCAGGGGAGCAAACGGG